GACGAACGCUGGCGGCGUGCUUAACACAUGCAAGUCGAACGGAAAGGCCCUGCUUUUGUGGGGUGCUCGAGUGGCGAACGGGUGAGUAACACGUGAGUAACCUGCCCUUGACUUUGGGAUAACUUCAGGAAACUGGGGCUAAUACCGGAUAGGAGCUCCUGCUGCAUGGUGGGGGUUGGAAAGUUUCGGCGGUUGGGGAUGGACUCGCGGCUUAUCAGCUUGUUGGUGGGGUAGUGGCUUACCAAGGCUUUGACGGGUAGCCGGCCUGAGAGGGUGACCGGCCACAUUGGGACUGAGAUGCGGCCCGGACUCCUACGGGAGGCAGCAGUGGGGAAUAUUGCACAAUGGGCGGAAGCCUGAUGCAGCAACGCCGCGUGCGGGAUGACGGCCUUCGGGUUGUAAACCGCUUUCGCCUGUGAUGAAGCGUGAGUGACGGUAAUGGGUAAAGAAGCACCGGCUAACUACGUG
rnacentral:rRNA from 1 species